rnacentral:tRNA from 1 species
GAGGGUAUAGCUGAGUAGUAGAGCGCAUGCUUGGCAUACACAAGGUCCUGGGUUCAACCCCCAGUACCUCCU